GCCGAGGUAGCUCAGCUGGUAGAGCACCCGCCUGAAGAGCGGGGUGUCGUCAGUUCAAGUCUGACCCUCGGCA
rnacentral:tRNA from 1 species